GUGUUGUAUGAAAAGAGAGAUAUUUAGCACUCCUCUAGAUAAGGAUGGACAGAACACAUUUAAUGGUAGACACCGUCGUUAUUUGACAAUUCUUAUUCAAUAAAAUCUUCU
rnacentral:ncRNA from 1 species